UACAGAGGUCUCAAGCGUUGUUCGGAUUCAUUGGGCGUAAAGGGUGCGUAGGCGGCGCGGUAAGUCGGGUGUGAAAUCUCGGAGCUUAACUUCGAAACUGCAUUCGAUACUGCCGUGCUUGAGGACUGGAGAGGAGACUGGAAUUUACGGUGUAGCGGUGAAAUGCGUAGAUAUCAGGAGGAACACCGGUGGCGAAGGCGGGUCUCUGGGCAGUAACUGACGCUGAGGAGCGAAAGCGUGGGGAGCGAACAGG
rnacentral:rRNA from 1 species